GGGAUUACCCUCAGUAACGGCGAGUGAAGCCGGUAACAGCUCAAAUUUGAAAUCUGGCUCUUUCAGGGUCCGAGUUGUAAUUUGUAGAAGAUGCUUUGGGUGUAGCUCCAGUCUAAGUUCCUUGGAACAGGACGUCAUAGAGGGUGAGAAUCCCGUAUGUGAUUGGUGGCUUUCGCCUGUGUAAAGCUCUUUCGACGAGUCGAGUUGUUUGGGAAUGCAGCUCAAAAUGGGUGGUAAAUUUCAUCUAAAGCUAAAUAUUGGCCAGAGACCGAUAGCGCACAAGUAGAGUGAUCGAAAGAUGAAAAGCACUUUGGAAAGAGAGUUAAACAGUACGUGAAAUUGUUGAAAGGGAAGCGUUGGCAACCAGACUCGCAUGCCGCUAAUCAUCCGGGGUUUUCCCCGGUGCACUUGGUGGUUUUCGGGCCAGCAUCGGUUUCGGUGGUGGGAUAAAGGCCUUGGGAAUGUAGCUUCUUUCGGGGAGUGUUAUAGCCCUCGGUGCAAUGCCGCCUACCGGGACCGAGGACCGCGCUUCGGCUAGGAUGCUGGCGUAAUGGUUGUCAACGG
rnacentral:rRNA from 1 species